UAGUCCUCACUUGGCCAUGAAGCUCACUGAGUGAGCUUGGGUCAGUCAUGGACACUCACCCUAUCCUCCCUCACAGGGUUGUUGUGAGGAUAAAAUGGAGAGGAGGCACUUUGGCUCCAUGGAGGAAAGGGAG